UCCUACAGAUAAACCUGAUGUUGGCUGCUUCUGGAUUUAGGAGGAUUUUUGGGAAAGCUUCAUAGUAUUUUCAGAGGUAACCUAGAGGGGAAAAAAAAGUGGUUGCUGAAGGCAUUCUGGAUCUUGAGGAGAUCAUGAGGAGAAGAAACUGAAAUAGCUAAGUCUGAAUGUCGCAUCGUCUCCUGGAGCCUAGAUCUGUGUGUAUCUGCACUAUCUCAUUGAUCUCUAAAAAGUGACAUUGAUGCCAACUGCCAGAGCUGGUACCCAUGCCAUCUGCUAGUGACGUCACGGGGCAGAGAAGACCACGUGAGCCUUUCUCCUGGGACCUUCAUUCUGCACUGAUCAUCUGGCAUCCCUCUAAGUGGGUACCAGCAUUCAUGUAUCAACACAGAAGGCAAGAAACUGUUAAAUGGAUCUGACAAAGCCUCUCGGCUAAGCCCUGCCAUGGAGCUUAUGGCAAACUCCACCUUGGGUUUUUAGGAGUGGUUG